GACGAACGCUGGCGGCGUGCCUAAUACAUGCAAGUCGAGCGGUCCCUUCGGGGAUAGCGGCGGACGGGUGAGUAACACGUAGGCAACCUGCCUGUAAGACCGGAAUAACUAUCGGAAACGAUAGCUAAGACCGGAUAGCUGGUUUUCUCGCAUGAGAGAAUCAUGAAACACGGGGCAACCUGUGGCUUACAGAUGGGCCUGCGGCGCAUUAGCUAGUUGGUAGGGUAACGGCCUACCAAGGCGACGAUGCGUAGCCGACCUGAGAGGGUGACCGGCCACACUGGGACUGAGACACGGCCCAGACUCCUACGGGAGGCAGCAGUAGGGAAUCUUCCGCAAUGGACGCAAGUCUGACGGAGCAACGCCGCGUGAGUGAUGAAGGUCUUCGGAUCGUAAAGCUCUGUUGCCCUAGACGAACAGCAAGGAGAGUAACUGCUCUUUGUGUGACGGUAUAGGAGAAGAAAGCCCCGGCUAACUACGUGCCAGCAGCCGCAGUAA
rnacentral:rRNA from 1 species